rnacentral:rRNA from 1 species
CACACCGCCCGUCACGCCAUGGGAGUCGACUGCUCCAGAAGUGGCUGAGCCAACCCGCAAGGGAGGCAGGUCCCCAAGGAGUGGUCGGUAACUGGGUG